rnacentral:misc_RNA from 1 species
CGCACAUUGCGCCCUUUGGUAUUCCGAAGGGCAUGCCUGUUCGAGCGUCAUUGCACCUCUCAAGCACUGCUUGGUAUUGGGAGCCGCCCCCCGUGGUGCCCCCGGAUUUCCGUGGCGGUCCAGCGAGACUUCAAGCGUAGCAAGAUGACACAUCCCGCUUUGGAAGUUUCCCGCUGCGUACCGGCCAGUCAACCCCUAAAUUUUCAAUGAUUGACCUCGGAUCAGGUAGGGAUACCCGCUGAACUUAA